UACGUAGGGUGCAAGCGUUGUCCGGAAUUAUUGGGCGUAAAGCACGUGUAGGCGGCUCGGUAAGUCUGCUGUGAAAGUCCAGGGCUCAACCCUGGGAUGCCGGUGGAUACUGUCGAGCUCGAGUCCGGAAGAGGCGAGUGGAAUUCCUGGUGUAGCGGUGAAAUGCGCAGAUAUCAGGAGGAACACCAAUGGCGAAGGCAGCUCGCUGGGACGUGACUGACGCUGAGACGCGAAAGCGUGGGGAGCAAACAGG
rnacentral:rRNA from 1 species